rnacentral:rRNA from 1 species
UACAGAGGGUGCGAGCGUUUAAUCGGAAUUACUGGGCGUAAAGGGUGUGUAGGUGGCGAGGUAAGUUAGAUGUGAAAAUCCCCGGGCUCAACCUGGGAAUUGCGUUUAAAACUGCUUGGCUAGAGUAUUGUAGAGGAUAGUGGAAUUUCCAGUGUAGCGGUGAAAUGCGUAGAUAUUGGAAGGAACACCAGUGGCGAAGGCGACUAUCUGGACAGAUACUGACACUGAGACACGAAAGCAUGGGGAGCAAACAGG